rnacentral:rRNA from 1 species
GAGUUUGAUCAUGGCUCAGGACGAACGCCGGCGGCACGCCUAACACAUGCAAGUCGAACGGAGAUAUUUUGGUUUACUGAGAUAUYUUAGUGGCGGACGGGUGAGUAACACGUGAGCAACCUGCCUYUGAGAGAGGGAUAGCUUCUGGAAACGGAUGGUAAUACCUCAUAACAUAACGAAGCCGCAUGACUUUGUUAUCAAAGAUUUAUCACUCAGAGAUGGGCUCGCGUYUGAUUAGAUAGUUGGUGAGGUAACGGCCCACCAAGUCGACGAUCAGUAGCCGGACUGAGAGGUUGAACGGCCACAUUGGGACUGAGACACGGCCCAGACUCCUACGGGAGGCAGCAGUGGGGAAUAUUGCACAAUGGGGGAAACCCUGAUGCAGCGAUGCCGCGUGGAGGAAGAAGGUUUUCGGAUUGUAAACUCCUKUCUAAAGGACGAUAAA